AGAGUUUGAUCCUGGCUCAGAACGUACGCUGGCGACACGCCUAACACAUGCAAGUCGAACGAAGUAGCAAUACUUAGUGGCGAACGGGUGAGUAUAAUGUGGGUAUCUGCCUUUUGGUUUGGAAUAACACGGGGAAACUUGUGCUAAUACCGGAUAAGCCUUCACAGGGAAAGUUUUAACGCCAAAAGAUGAGCCCGCACUUGAUUAGCUAGUUGGUAAGGUAAUGGCUUACCAAGGCUACGAUCAAUAGCUGAUCUGAGAGGAUGAUCAGCCACAUUGGGACUGAGACACGGCCCAAACUCCUACGGGAGGCAGCAGUAGGGAAUCUUGCACAAUGGAGGAAACUCUGAUGCAGCGAUGCCGCGUGAGUGAAGAAGGCCUUUGGGUUGUAAAGCUCUUUCGUCGGGGAAGAAAAUGACUGUACCCGAAUAAGAAGGUCCGGCUAACUUCGUGCCAGCAGCCGCGGUAAUACGAAGGGACCUAGCGUAGUUCGGAAUUACUGGGCUUAAAGAGUUCGUAGGUGGUUAAAAAAGUUGGUGGUGAAAUCCCAGAGCUUAACUCUGGAACUGCCAUCAAAACUUUUUAGCUAGAGUAUGAUAGAGGAAAGCAGAAUUUCUAGUGUAGAGGUGAAAUUCGUAGAUAUUAGAAAGAAUACCGAUUGCGAAGGCAGCUUUCUGGAUCAUUACUGACACUGAGGAACGAAAGCAUGGGUAGCGAAGAGGAUUAGAUACCCUCGUAGUCCAUGCCGUAAACGAUGUGUGUUAGACGUUGGAAAUUUAUUUUCAGUGUCGCAGCGAAAGCGAUAAACACACCGCCUGGGGAGUACGACCGCAAGGUUAAAACUCAAAUGAAUUGACGGGGACCCGCACAAGUAGUGGAGCAUGUGGUUUAAUUCGAAGAUACGCGCAGAACCUUACCAACACUUGACAUGUUCGUCGCGACUCUAAGAGAUUAGAGUUUUCGGUUCGGCCGGACGAAACACAGGUGCUGCAUGGCUGUCGUCAGCUCGUGUCGUGAGAUGUUGGGUUAAGUCCCGCAACGAGCGCAACCCUUACUUUUAGUUGCCAUCAUUUAGUUGGGCACUCUGAAAGAACUGCCAGUGAUAAGCUGGAGGAAGGUGGGGAUGACGUCAAGUCCUCAUGGCCCUUAUGUGUUGGGCUACACACGUGCUACAAUGGUAUCUACAACAGGAAGCAAAAUGGCAACAUUAAGCAAAUCCCAAAAAGAUACCUCAGUUCGGAUUGCACUCUGCAACUCGAGUGCAUGAAGCUGGAAUUACUAGUAAUCGUGGAUCAGCGUGCCACGGUGAAUACGUUCCCGGGUCUUGUACACACCGCCCGUCACACCAUGGGAGUUGGUUCUACCUUAAGGCAAGGUUUAAUACCCUUGACCACGGUAUAGUCAGCGACUGGGGUGAAGUCGUAACAAGGUAACC
rnacentral:rRNA from 1 species